CCUACGGGAGGCAGCAGUAGGGAAUCUUCGGCAAUGGGCGAAAGCCUGACCGAGCAACGCCGCGUGAAUGAAGAAGGCCUUCGGGUUGUAAAAUUCUGUUAUAAGGGAAGAAAGGUGAUAGGAGGAAAUGACUAUCAAUUGACGGUACCUUAUGAGAAAGCCACGGCUAACUACGUGCCAGCAGCCGCGGUAAUACGUAGGUGGCAAGCGUUAUCCGGAAUUAUUGGGCGUAAAGAGCGCGCAGGUGGUUAAUUAAGUCUGAUGUGAAAGCCCACGGCUUAACCGUGGAGGGUCAUUGGAAACUGGUUGACUUGAGUGCAGAAGAGGGAAGUGGAAUUCCAUGUGUAGCGGUGAAAUGCGUAGAGAUAUGGAGGAACACCAGUGGCGAAGGCGGCUUCCUGGUCUGCAACUGACACUGAGGCGCGAAAGCGUGGGGAGCAAACAGGAUUAGAUACCCCAGUAGUC
rnacentral:rRNA from 1 species